rnacentral:rRNA from 1 species
CCUACGGGGGGCAGCAGUCGAGAAUUUUUCUCAAUGGGGGAAACCCUGAAGGAGCGACGCCGCGUGGGGGAUGAAUGGCUUCGGCCCGUAAACCCCUGUCAUUUGCGAGCAAAUUUGACGAUCUAACAAGUCGUCAAUUGAUAGUAGCAGAAGAGGAAGAGACGGCUAACUCUGUGCCAGCAGCCGCGGUAAUACAGAGGUCUCAAGCGUUGUUCGGAAUCACUGGGCGUAAAGGGUGCGUAGACCGUGGGGUAAGUUUGCCGUGAAAUCUUCAGGCUCAACCUGGAAACUGCGGUGAAAACUGCCCCGCUAGAGGUAUGGAGGGGGAACUGGAAUUCUAGGUGUAGCAGUGAAAUGCGUAGAUAUCUAGAAGAACACCAGCGGCGAAAGCGAGUUCCUGGACAUUACCUGACGUUGAGGCACGAAAGCUAGGGGAGCAAACGGGAUUAGAUACCCUAGUAGUC